AUACGGAGGGUGCAAGCGUUGUUCGGAAUUACUGGGCGUAAAGCGCGCGUAGGCGGUCUGUUAUGUCAGAUGUGAAAGUCCUCGGCUCAACCGGGGAAGUGCAUUUGAAACUGGCAGACUUGAGUACUGGAGGGGGUGGUGGAAUUCCCGGUGUAGAGGUGAAAUUCGUAGAUAUCGGGAGGAAUACCGGUGGCGAAGGCGACCACCUGGCCAGAUACUGACGCUGAGGUGCGAAAGCGUGGGGAGCAAACAGGAUUAGAUACCCUAGUAGUCC
rnacentral:rRNA from 1 species